UACAGAGGGUGCAAGCGUUGUUCGGAAUCAUUGGGCGUAAAGGGCGUGUAGGCGGUCUGCUAAGUCAUGUGUGAAAGCCCUCGGCUUAACCGAGGAACGACGCAUGAAACUGGCAAGCUAGAGUACCAAAGAGGGGGGUGGAAUUCCCGGUGUAGCGGUGAAAUGCGCAGAUAUCAGGAGGAACACCGGUGGCGAAGGCGGGUCUCUGGGCCGUAACUGACGCUGUGGAGCGAAAGCAUGGGGAGCGAACAGG
rnacentral:rRNA from 1 species